CCUACGGGAGGCAGCAGUCGAGAAUCAUUCACAAUGGGGGAAACCCUGAUGGUGCGACGCCGCGUGGGGGAAUGAAGGUCUUCGGAUUGUAAACCCCUGUCAUGUGGGAGCAAAUUAAAAAGAUAGUACCACAAGAGGAAGAGACGGCUAACUCUGUGCCAGCAGCCGCGGUAAUACAGAGGUCUCAAGCGUUGUUCGGAAUCACUGGGCGUAAAGGGUGCGUAGGCUGUUUCGUAAGUCGUGUGUGAAAGUCGCGGGCUCAACCCGCGGAGUGCACAUGAUACUGCGAGACUAGAGUAAUGGAGGGGGAACCGGAAUGCUCGGUGUAGCAGUGAAAUGCGUAGAUAUCGAGAGGAACACUCGUGGCGAAGGCGGGUUCCUGGACAUUAACUGACGCUGAGGCACGAAGGCGAGGGGAGCGAACGGGAUUAGAUACCCUGGUAGUC
rnacentral:rRNA from 1 species